UGGAGUUUCCUGUGGGGCUCUUUUAUUGUUGAUGGUGGAUCUGGUGGUAUGAGAUCUAUUUCGGUUCUUGUACUGGUGGAUUUUUGGUUUUUCAGCGUUCUGGUGGUGUGCUGGUGGGCCUUGCUUCCCUGGGAGUUAUGGGUUUCUUUUUGUUGGGUUCCCCCUUUUUAUUUUGUUUCUUUUCUAUUAUGGGUACUUCUUGUGCCUUAGAGUUUUGUGUGGAGGUUCCCCCCUC
rnacentral:lncRNA from 1 species